GAAGCAAGUACUUUGUGCAUAUGUUGGUUGUAACUUGUGCUUUGAGAGUGUUUCAAAAAAAAAAAAAACUUGAUGGUGUACAUCCACAUAUUUGUUACAUACCUUCUCUCCCUUUCAGUCCAAAACCACUGCCACUCAUCUCAUCCGGUUUGAAGAUCAGUACCAACCACCGCCGACGAAGGCAGUCCUAAAACGUUUAAACCCUAAAAUCAAACCUCUCGAAAUACGGUGAGCAAAGAAGUUGUCAAGGUUUAUGUUAAACCUAAGAAAAGGCCAUACCCCUGUUUCUUCGUGUCUUUCUCAGUCAGAGGAUGAGGUGUGGACCCGUUGGGGGCUAUGAUCUAUGAUGAAACUGGUGACGCAAAUUAUGACUUGGUUUACUUAUGUUCCGUGCUCUACCUGUGAACAAUGUGGCAAGCAUCAGGUAGUUUUACAUUUAUGGUUGAAUGGAUAAUAGACCGAUAUGAGGCAAACGGGUCAGUCGCGUAACGGGUAAAAAGACAAACUUUUAUACGGGUAUUAGUUGUGCAAAGAGUGAUCAGUUUCAGCCUUCGGGUUUAUAGAGAUUGAGAUGAGAGAAUAUCACAGACUUUGAUUAAUCAGAUAUCACAUGAGAAAGAAAAUGAUACAUAAGUGUUUUUACGCUGAUAAAGAAGGUUGCAGAAAAGGGUAUAGCUUUGUUUUGUACAUCUUGGAUGUAUAGGUUAGGCGAUGUAACUAUGGAACAUUGGUGUAACAAAUGCAUGGGUUUAUUUGGUAUGACACAUAUGAAUAGCUCACCGCCGUAUUGCGGCGGGUAAUAAAUCCUAGUUCUAAUUAACUUAGCAAAUUUACAAAUCAAACAUGAUUGGUAAUAAUUUUUAUUUCAAUUAUACUAUAUUCUAUUUUUUUACAUAUUUCCUUUCUUUAAAUAGAACUUCUAUGAACCAAACGUCAUUGUGUAUUAUAUUUAAUUAUAUGGAGCUCAUAAAAAUAUUGUGUAUAGUAUAUCUUGCCGUAAUUCGUAAGGUAACAAAAACAAUCAAACAACCUGAAGCUGAACAAAUUAUGAUGAUCCAAAAUGCAUUCG
rnacentral:lncRNA from 1 species